CACCGGUGUAGAGGAAAAUAAGCAGACGCAAUGACAUCGAUGCUCCCUUCCCUAUUCCAGAGCUCACGAGCGAAGGAGGCCGGCGGAGGAAGAGAAGGAGAAGGAGAAGGAGAGGGAGCCGCAUCGGGGAGGUGGAGGGAGGAGGUAGCUGCCGCGGACCAGGUCUACCCCGAGUAGAGCAGAGGUACCUCUCGUCCCCACCUGUCACCCUUCGCCACCCCUCUUCGCUCGCCGUCGGCCGUCCCUCUCGGUGCUGCCCCACCCGUCACCCUUCGCCACCCCUCUUCGCUCGCGGACGGCCGUCCCUCUCGGUGCUGCUACCAGCCGCAGUCGACGGUGAAGGAGGGGGGCGGCCGCGGCGCUCCGGCGGCUCGGGCGCGGGCUCGAAGGGCAGGCACUCGCCAGUGAGACGGGUGGCCGGCAGGGAGCAGACACACGAAGAAGAGCCCUACGACUGCGGUACCUCGAGUAGUUCGAGGGAGAGACGACGUCCUCCUAACCUAGCCUAACCAAAGAUGUACGAGAUAAUAGACAAACUCUUGACUCAACGCCGGGAGGUUUAGAAGUCGGGGUCUUCCUCCUAAACUCUCACCUCUUCCCAGUUGACUUACACUAAACCUCCUUCCUCAACAGGUCCUUAGUUUUACAAUAAUAAGAUGAUAAGACGUCCCCUCUUAGAUUUCUAAUAAACAAAGAAAAAUACGGACGUCUAGCGCAAAUCACAAACCCUAAGUGUGGGAUGUAACUAUUCCAGACUUAAAUUGUAGGUGAAAAUUGUGACCCUAGGAGUUCACAAAGUCAAGCAUGAAACGGCUGCAUGUUAGAUAACCGGUGUAAAAGAUCGUGUGAAUAAGGUUGACUUCAGUCGAGGACGAACGUGAAGAGGUGACUCACUUAUGAUUAUCAAGAUUUUUCUAUUUGGUGGGUAUCUUAACCAAGAUUAAUCUAGGAGACUUUCUACGUUCGUCGAUCUCAUGGAAUCAGGUAUCCUCAGGACGUUGACCAAGUCUUCAAGAACUCAUUUGACCUAGUCACUCUUAUAAUUAACUCAGCGACGAGUUCUUUGUUUUAUCUUAUUGCUGUCGCAUCGAUUAUGGUAAACAGACACGUACUACAUAAAACUAGAGUUCACGUAAACUUACCGAACUAAAAACGUCUCUAGAACAGUGGACGCGGGAACAAACCAGCAUGUAUUUUGACAGUAGAACGAAAUUUCAGUUCACCAGUCCAGAAACUAUCAUGCGUACCCACUUGGGUGGAAAACAACUUAAACCCUUGGCAGAUUAUAUCGAUAAAAAAUUCUUCCUCGAACUUGUCUAGAGUCAUAUACAAUUAAAACAUCUUGAUUUCCAAUCGUGUCUUAACAUACCAAAAUAAAAGACCCAGUUUUCGAACUAAGUACGUCAUGUAAGAGAUUAAGAACUAUGUAAAGUCAUAAGUUAAAAAAGUAAUUGUUAUGUUUUAUCAGUAGAACGAAGUCUAAGUUCACUGGUCCAGCCACAGCCGGACGGGUAUCGCGGAGGUGAGGUAGGGGGAGACGCAGUGAGGAUGGUGGCGAGCUCCGGUACCGGUACUACGGCGGCCACCUCAUAAUAAAAAGAUGCAAAAUAGGUACACCUAGAUUGGAAUGUAGAUGACCGGUUGGAAAACUACUUCAUUUGUAAAUGUUGAGACAACACCGAACACUAAAUGAAUAGAUUGAAAAAAGUAAUAAACAACGAAAAUGUCCGACAUUAACACGGACUGACUGAUCCAUUAAGAGUCUCUUGACUUCGUUGAUUCGAAAGUCAAGAAAGGAAUGGACGGUUACGAAGGAGGACGGAACGGUCGAUGCGCACAGGAGUGGAAACAAGUAGUUAAGCACACGUCCAUACUUAGCCACUACAAAAACUGCGGGUAUCUCGGUAAUGGAGCACGUACACAUAAAACACACGGUCAAAUGGUCAAUCACUCACUAUUACAGGCGUACUUACAAAGUAGCAAAUCGUUCACUAGUCGUUGUACGUAGAGAAUGAAAACCUAACUUCACGUCUAGAACGAUUUCUCUACUGGUACCUCAGUAAAUACAUAAGAAUACGGGGUUACGAAGUAAUUAAUAAGAAUAAUACGUUAUAUUUUAAUAAAGAAUGGCAGAAGAUAACAAAGGAGACUAAAAGAGUCAAUAAGUCUCUUGUGGUGUACAAUGUACUUAAGAUCUGAUGAAAGGAUCUCCAUCAACAAUCUUAGUAGAAGAACUUAAACGGACGAAUCGUAGAUUAUAAAGUGUGAGCGGUUAACAUUAUAGAGUGCGAACGGUUAAAAAUCUUAGUCCAAGAACUCAAACGUACGAAUUGGCACAGGGAUACGUUAACGAGUGGUUGGAGCGGUUAACACUCAAACAGGGUGUAUCACCUCAAAGACACUCAAAAACAUCAGAUAUUUAAGAACCUUUAAGAGAACAACGACGAUAUUACACCCACACAAGCCGAAGGAAGAAGUAAAUUCCACUUAGGAACGAAGGUCCAACCGGAUACUUUACUACAUCAAAGACGACCUUUUAUUCAACAAUACGUUAAUAUCAAUCCAACGGUUAAAAGGAAGUAUUGACGUAAAUUACCCAUCGACAAUACGAGUGAAACGAGUUUCUUUCCAACAGAACGGUACGAUGAAACACGAAAUUCUUUAUCCGACUGUGGUUUGGUCAUUAGGAUCUGAAGACGAAACAACCGGCUUUCAAUGAUUAAAACAAAAAGAACAAUAGAAAUCGGUAAGGUUUUGUAAAUAGACCAAAACAUCUUAAUGUCUGGUAUCUUAAUAUCGGCCGGUAUAAAAACUUACGCACUUGGAGUGUAUCUAUAGUACGAUUACAUCAAACUGCCUUCAGCAUUUUGGUUACCUAUCCGUAGCAGAAGACGAUUCCAAGGAAAGUGGGAAGAAAUCUUGGGUUGUUCUUAAGUAGUUUUUUAAUUUCUAGAACCAAUCACUAAGCAAAGUUACCGGCCAUAUCAUUCCGAUGUAAUUAAUAGUUUAAUAAGAAGUAAAGAAAAACGGACGGGAACAAAUUGUUGGAUUAUGACUAACUAGUCCAUAUAACGUUACUCACGAAUGAAUACCAAACAGGGGACAAUAAAAAACUAAGGUCAGAAGUAUGAAAGUCUGUGGAAGCUAUAUAUAUCCUUCUUCUUUCAUAAGCGAGGUCUGCUUCUACAGAUCGAACGGACACACGACAUUGUAAUUAGUCACGUAGCCCGGGUUGCUAAAGACAGUAACCUUGGAACUACUAAAUAGAGUAAAGUUGCAUUAGAUUGGGGAGACUAAAAACAGUCAUGUACUAACAUAUGGAGGAUACGGGCGAAUUAAGACACAAGUAAAACAAUUAGUUCUUUGUAGACUAAAAUACCGACCGCACGACGAGGUCGCGCUGGCGAAGCACACAACGGAGCUCAGCGCACCGGUGAUGAGAGAGCGGUUCCGCCUCCGUCGAAGGUGAGAGCUGCGGGAGACGACGCGCGAGAGCGUCCGCCGCAAGCGUUUCGGAACAGUGUCGCGACGUUCACAACGGGGGGAGGAGGGGUUCCCGUUCCACUUCCUUCCACGGACACACCAAGAAGACGUCGAGCGCCGUUCCUAACAACACAGGUUGGAUGUAUUCUUACGGUUCUUCAGGAAGAGCCUCUACUAAUUCCUGUACAUGGAGGUGAUGUUACCCUCUAGACCCGACGAAGAAACACCGAAGGUUUGAACUUUAUAAACAAACUUUCAAUCAAAUCAAAAAACAACACCUAAGUGUCGAAGAGUGUACAUGGUAGGAGAAUCUGGAAAUCUAAAGAUUUCUUUGAUUUACUUCUAUACCACCAUACCAGAGUUAUCAUGUUGAAUUUCGGAAGGUACGAAAUAUAAAAGAAAUUUUAAACGAGAACUUUUUAGUACAUAGAUACAAUCUAGGCCACUCUUUUCCGCCGAAGGUUCGUCUCCUACGCCCUCACAACCG
rnacentral:rRNA from 1 species